rnacentral:lncRNA from 1 species
GACAGCACUUUCCAACCUUGCCAAGCUGAUUUUUUUUUUUUUUAAGCUGCAUGUGUCUUAAUGACCCUCAUCGUUCCUCCACCUGAUAGUUGCUCUGCAGCUCAUGGUCACCUCUGGCUCCUGAGCAGGAGUCACCUGUGGUACUAACUAACAGAACAGUGUCAGCAGUGGCUGUGUACUACCCUCCCCCAGUGGUGGUCCCAAAUACCAGCUGGCGGAAAGUACCUCAUUAUUGUGGACUGAGCAACUCUUGUGUCUUUCUGAAGUCCUAAGUGCUGCUGGAGCAGGUCAGAAAGGAGGAGAAGGUGGAGCGCUGGGCUUGCCUCCCCUGGGGAAGUUGAGCUGCUGCUCUUCAGGAUCUACCCUGGGAGCAGACUACAGCCCCACAUAACAUAAAGCAUCUACAUAAAAAGUUUUGAAAUCCUCGAAGUCUGAAAGAACUGCAUUUGAGAUAUCAAGGAUCAGGAAAAAUAUGACUUGAAAGAGCUAAGACUUGCUGAGCAAGCGCUGGAUCCGUGCACCUGGAGUACAGGAGCAUCAACACAUUACAUUACAAAAUAAAAUAUUUCUGUGGUGUAAAUCA